GCUUGUAGUGGAUAAGAGAACCUUUAAGUCAAGCUCUGAUUUUGGUGGGGACACCCUUGGAUUAAUGCUUCCAUUUAGCACACUGAGGAGCUUUUCCUCCAUUGCUGUUUUGCAAAUCCCAAAAGGGUUAUGGUUUGGGUCUGGAAUGUCCCCCACAGGCUCAUGUCUUUGUUUUUUUUUUGUACCCGGGAUUGAACUCAGAACCUUGCACUUGCCAGGCAGGCUCAGUGCCACUGAUCCACAUCCCUGGCCCUGGGGCUCAUGUCUUUAUUCCCAGUGCAUCAAUGUUCAGGGAUGGGGCCUAUCCUCCUUUCCCCAAAAUAAGACCAAGCCAGAAAAUAAUCAGUCUUGAAAACUAGACAUCAAAAAUGCCAACCCCAAUCAGCCUAUCUUUGCCUUACCUGUCUUACAGAGUAGACACCAAAGCAAGAGAAUAGUGACUUUUGUUUUCAGGGAAACAUGCUAGAUAUGUGAUUGGGUCAUGAAGGCACAAACCUUUUUGAUGGCCUAAAAGCAAUGGAGGUGGCCCACCAUGGACUAAAACCUCUGAAACCGUCUGGGGGAAGCUGGCCACAAUAUUUUAAGGACAUUGCAGCAGCCCCUGCACCCCCUGCUGGAGAGACCUUCAUGGGAAGAAUGGAAACCUCCUGCUAACCACCAGCAUGAGCCAUGUUGGAAGUGAAUCCUCCUGACCCAGUGAGAUGAACCUUGAUUGAUGUUGUUUCUCAGUUUUGAAGUCUAAAAUAAAAUAGAAAUGGCCCAAAGGAAA
ensembl:lncRNA